UAGGGAAUCUUCGGCAAUGGAACGGAAGUCUGACCGAGCAACGCCGCGUGAGUGAAGAAGGUUUUCGGAUCGUAAAGCUCUGUUGUAAGAGAAGAACGAGUGUGAAAGUGGAAAGUUCACACUGUGACGGUAUCUUACCAAAAAGGGACGGCUAACUACGUGCCAGCAGCCGCGGUAAUACGUAGGUCCCGAGCGUUAUCCGGAUUUAUUGGGCGUAAAGCGAGCGCAGGCGGUUAGAUAAGUCUGAAGUUAAAGGCUGUGGCUUAACCAUAGUACGCUUUGGAAACUGUUUAACUUGAGUGCAAGAGGGGAGAGUGGAAUUCCAUGUGUAGCGGUGAAAUGCGUAGAUAUAUGGAGGAACACCGGUGGCGAAAGCGGCUCUCUGGCUUGUAACUGACGCUGAGGCUCGAAAGCGUGGGGAGCAAACAGGAUUAGAUACCCUGGUAGUCCACGCCGUAAACGAUGAGUGCUAGGUGUUAGACCCUUUCCGGGGUUUAGUGCCGUAGCUAACGCAUUAAAGCACUCCCGCCUGGGGAGUACGACCGCAAGGUUGAA
rnacentral:rRNA from 1 species